CUUUUAUUUAUUGGAUUAACAUUAUUAGAAUUAAAAGCUGUUAAUACACAAGUGAAACACAUUCAUCACUGAUAAAGUUUCGUAGCACUGAGCACUCAGAAAGAACCAGGUUCAACUUAAUGACACAUGUUGGACAAAUACAGGAAGAAAAACAGGAAGAAUGCAUUAAAUUUAGUUUAAGUGUUUAUGAGUCACUAAGUGAGGAUAUUAGUUUGAUAGUGAACUGAUCCAGUUGCUCUUUCGGCAGUUGUGGUUUUUGCAUCUCUGUGGUUGAAGAGGAAAUAACAGAGUGACCAGGCGGAUGAACAUCAACCUGUGACCAACUAGAAUACAGAGACUCUGCAGAGCUCCCAGGGUGAGGAAAAACACUCCCACCCCAAGAACAUCACUGAAAGAAUACUGAAGAUGUGUCUGCGCUGUGUCUGUGUGUCCAAGUAUUCCAAACAAUCAUCAUAGUAAUAACAGGCACUGUGGCUGUGGGUGCUGUUUGGACUUCUCUGACUGCUGUCAGUCUUUUAUUACUGUAAACAAUAUGGCAGCAGUGUUUGUAGUAAUUACAAUAAAUGCAUUGGUAAA